GAUGAACGCUAGCGGCAGGCUUAAUACAUGCAAGUCGAGGGGCAGCAUGAGUGUAGCAAUACAUUUGAUGGCGACCGGCAAACGGGUGCGGAACACGUACACAACCUUCCUAUAAGUGGGGAAUAGCCCAGAGAAAUUUGGAUUAAUACCCCGUAACAUAAUGAUGUGGCAUCACAUUAUUAUUAUAGCUACGGCGCUUAUUGAUGGGUGUGCGGCUGAUUAGAUAGUUGGCGGGGUAACGGCCCACCAAGUCUACGAUCAGUAGCUGAUGUGAGAGCAUGAUCAGCCAAACGGGCACUGAGACACGGGCCCGACUCCUACGGGAGGCAGCAGUAAGGAAUAUUGGUCAAUGGACGCAAGUCUGAACCAGCCAUGCCGCGUGAAGGAUUAAGGUCCUCUGGAUUGUAAACUUCUUUUAUCUGGGACGAAAAAAGGCGAUUCUUCGUCACUUGACGGUACCAGAUGAAUAAGCACCGGCUAACUCCGUGCCAGCAGCCGCAGUAAUAC
rnacentral:rRNA from 1 species